rnacentral:rRNA from 1 species
UACGAAGGGUGCAAGCGUUACUCGGAAUUACUGGGCGUAAAGCGUGCGUAGGUGGUGAGUUAAGUCUGUCGUGAAAGCCCCGGGCUCAACCUAGGAACUGCGUUUGAAACUACAAGACUAGAAUAUGUCAGAGGGGGGUAGAAUUCCACGUGUAGCAGUGAAAUGCGUAGAGAUGUGGAGGAAUACCAAUGGCGAAGGCAGCCCCCUGGGAUAAUAUUGACGCUCAUGCACGAAAGCGUGGGGAGCAAACAGG